CCUACGGGUGGCAGCAGUGGGGAAUAUUGCGCAAUGGGCGAAAGCCUGACGCAGCGACGCCGCGUGAGGGAUGAAGGUCCUCGGAUCGUAAACCUCUGUCAGCAGGGAAGUACGGUCACUGUGCUAAUCAGCAGUGAAUUGACGGUAUCUGCAAAGGAAGCACCGGCUAACUCCGUUCCAGCAGCCGCGGUAAUACGGAAGGUGCGAGCGGUAAUCGGAAUUACUGGGCGUAAAGCGCUCGUAGGCGGUAUGUCAAGUCAGGGGUGAAAUCCCCGCGCUCAACGUGGGAACUGCCUUUGAAACUGGCGACCUGGAGUGUAUGAGAGGAUGGUGGAAUUCCAGGUGUAGGGGUGAAAUCCGUAGAUAUCUGGAGGAACAUCGGUGGCGAAGGCGACUGUCUGGCACAUAACUGACGCUGAGGAGCGAAAGCGUGGGUAGCAAACAGGAUUAGAUACCCUAGUAGUC
rnacentral:rRNA from 1 species